rnacentral:rRNA from 1 species
AGUGAACGCUGGCGGCAGGCCUAACACAUGCAAGUCGAACGACCACACAGUAAGAGCGUGCUCCUACCGGUGGCGACUGGCGGACGAGUGAGAAGUACAUAGGAUUCUACUUUGUCGGGGGUGACAUCGUAGGGACACAUACGCUAACACCGAAUACGACCUACCGCAGAAAUCAAUGGAUCAACGCACCUUGCGCGUUUGAUUGAGACGAUGUCGGAUUAGCUAGUUGGCUAGGUAAAGGCCCACCAAGGCAACGAUACGUAGCUGACCUGAGAGGAUGAUCGGCCACACUGGAACUGAGACACGGUCCAGACUCCUACGGGAGGCAGCAGUGGGGAAUAUUGGACAAUGGGCGAAAGCCUGAUCCAGCCAUACCGCGUGAGUGAAGAAGGUCUUCGGGUCGUAAAGCCCUGUUGUUGGGAAAGAACAACAGUGGAUGAAUCCACGGCUGUUCUGACGGUACCCAAAGAGAAAGCAACGGCUAACUUCGUG